UUCCACUUGAAAGUAUCGAAUGGAAAAUUUAUUAUUCUACAAAAAUUUAUGUGAUCCAAUUGACGGAGAUAGUACUAAACCAAGUAAAAAAACUUAGCAAGAGUAGGAAAAAAUAAAUAGGAAGAUAGUUAAAUUAAUCAAGCAAUGGAUAUAUAAUAUUUUUCACUAAUGCCCAUAAUUUAUAGAAGAAGUUAGGAGCUUG
rnacentral:lncRNA from 1 species